rnacentral:lncRNA from 1 species
NGUGGGAUAUCCUUGAGGGAGGGCUCGGCGCGUCUCUGCUUAGGAUCCUUAUGUUUUGGCACAGCAGUGAUUUCAGAGGAAGAAACCUUGUGCAUUUUUAUAAUGCAUAAAGUCUGCUUUUGGGGAAAAGCAUUACAGCGCACCUCCCAUGCUUCCACAGAGGAGAGAUGGUCGCGCUAUUAAGGCAGAAGGAAGUAGGUAUGGAGGGUUGAUGACAGCUCUAGAAGGGAUUUGAAUGAAAUAUUGCAAAGGCAGGACUGAUGGCAUUUGCCUGGAGGAUAUGAGGCACCGGAAGGAGCUGAGCUUAGCCAGAUGAACAGGACCUCCAGGAAGGAAGAAGAGAAAGAUGUCUCCAGAAGGAGAGUGACGACUGCUCUUAGCUCAUUUUGUGGUUUCGAGAACCCUCUCCUGAUCCGGUCUGGCUGUGGGCUGGUGGGUGAGGAGCCCAGAGCGUUUCCCAUCCGCCAGCAGGGCUCCCGUGUGCAUCUCGCCUUAAAAUCACGGUCCCUGCCACGGUGUCUCUGCAGAGAACCUGACAGUCUGCUUCAAGCACUAGGUUUGUGCCUUUUCAAAUGGGGUGUCUCCUUCUGUUGAAGGACAAUCUCAGAUUAUUAUUUUUGCUGCCUGGGGAUCUAUGCCGGAUAUGCUUGCUGCUCGGGAAAUUGUGGUUGGGGGAACGUCCAGAUGGUAAAAGACUACCCCGGGUUCCUAAGGAAAUGCUCAAAAAUUAUCCUAGAUGAGAGAAAAAAGGGGGAAAAAGGACAGAAAAGAAAAACUGUUGGGGCAGGGGUAGUGUAAGGAGGGCAUUUUAUACAAUUGGGUGAGCCCUGGCAUUCCCUCCCUAUUUUGAUUGUUUUUCUUGCAAUAAUGAUGAUAGUGGAGAUGGGACUGUAAACAAACAAUAACAACAAAUGAUAAGAAUAGCAAAUUAUAAGAAUAGCAAUGAUAAGAAUGAGGACUUGCUCUGUGCCAGGCACUGCGCUAGACCCUCUGCAUCCAUCGCCUCAUUUAACUCUCAUGGCAGCCGCCGACAUAGGCGCCGUUAUUCUCACCCCAUUGUACAGAUGAGGAAACUGAGGAAGGCAGUUCUGCUCAAGUCAAAUAGCUCCUAGGGGCGCAUGUGAAAUUCAAACGCUGUGAAGCCUGACUGGGACUCUGAGCCCAGCGUUCAGUGCAGAGUCAAGACUCAGAUUGCCUCCAGGGCUAGGCACGUAGGAUGAAUGAAUGAAGUGCUUCAUCUGUGCCUGGAGCCANNNNNNN